ACCCGCUGAAUUUAAGCAUAUCACUAAGCGGAGGAAAAGAAACUAACCAGGAUUCCCCUAGUAACGGCGAGUGAAGAGGGAAAAGCCCAGCACCGAAGCCUGCGGCCAAUUGGCUGUUAGGCAAUGUGGUGUUUGGGUCGGCUGACGGGAUUGCCACUCCACUCGAAGUCCAGCAUUGAGUAUGGUCACUGGAUUUGGCCCAGAGAGGGUGAAAGGCCCUUACGGGUGGAGGUUCAGACAUGUAAGGCAGUUCACUAGGCCGGCCUUAGAGUCGGGUUGUUUGAGAAUGCAGCCCAAAGUGGGUGGUAAACUCCAUCCAAGGCUAAAUACAUACACGAGUCCGAUAGCGAACAAGUACCGUGAGGGAAAGUUGAAAAGUACUCUGAAGAGAGAGUAAACAGUACGUGAAACCGCAUGCAGGUAAACGGGUGGCGUCAAGCUGCAGGCUCAGAGAAUUCAGCUGAUUGGGGUGUCUCGGAUGGGUGGAUAGUCCACUGGUAAACGGUGGGCCCGGUCGCAAGGCUGGGAUGUGUGUACCGAGCGGAAGCCGGAGCACGCUGUUCAUCUGUUAGGCUACCUGGUCAGUGCACUUUCUUUGGGCUAACACCACGACCGGUGGUAUUGCCAGUCUGCUGUGGCCAAGUCGUGUUUGGCUGGUCCUCGUGGCUAGCUGGAUACGAUCACAGGCAAACUCAGUGUACGGCGUAGAGGUGCUUCGGCACUUCUACGUGUUAUCGGCCACUGGUUGUCAACGGGUCUGCCUGAUGGUUGCUGUUGUAACUGCCGUUGAGUGACUCGGUGGGCUGUGGUGGUAUGAAAAACUGUGCAAGGCACCGGAGUUUUCGGUCUCAAAUGCGACCUGCGCACACGUUACGGGUGGCGCGGGGUGCUGUUGCCGCUUGCCUAUUGUUAGGUCUGAUCGUCGUGUCGCCCGCACAAAGUGGGCCCGGCGGUGGCCUGAUGUAGGAUGGGUGGUGGAUAGUGCCUCCUGUGUGGGUUGUAGUGGGCCAAACAGUCAGUGGUGUGGUGGUAGACUAGCCACCCGACCCGUCUUGAAACACGGACCAAGGAGUUUAACAUGUAUGCGAGUCAAAGGGCCUUACGAAACCCCAAGGCGCAGUGAAAGUAAAGCUUCGACUUGUUCUCGGAGUAAGGUGUGAUCCUGCCGUACUCGCAUCAGCCCUUGCCAGCCACUGGCUAAGAGCGGUAGGCGCAACACCGGCCCGUCCCAUGAUGUGGCCAUCGGAUGUCUGCGGUUUCUGCUUCCGGCAGGAGCCGUGGUGCCGGUGCGUCAUCGGGGCGGAGCAUGAGCAUACAUGUUAUGACCCGAAAGAUGGUGAACUAUGCUUGCGUAGGUUGAAGCCAGAGGAAACUCUGGUGGAGGACCGCAGCGAUUCUGACGUGCAAAUCGAUCGUCAAACGUGAGUAUAGGGGCGAAAGACUAAUCGAACCAUCUAGUAGCUGGUUCCCUCCGAAGUUUCCCUCAGGAUAGC
rnacentral:rRNA from 1 species